UUCUGGCUAGGUGGUUUUGGCUGAGAAGCUAAGCAGGUCAGGCCUAGUCUGUACUUGGAUGGGAGGCCUUCAGGGAACCCCAAGAACAGAGA
rnacentral:rRNA from 1 species